CAGAAUCAGAAUCAGAUUUGUGUGUGUGUGUGUGUGUGUGUGUGUGUGUCGUUAUGUUAUGAUUUAAAGUUAAAUUCACAACAGAUCUAUGUAGCCGGUUUGAGUGCCAUUUUAUCUGCAUCACAGCUUCCUUAGAGUUUGCUGGUCAUCACAAUGCUCCAACAAGCUGAUCAUGUGAAAGUCACACAGUUUAACUCAUAGCCAAGUUACACAAACACGAGCAGGAUUAUCAGACAAACUACAACAAGCCUUAAACAAUAUCUUUAGCCAGCAAGCCAACUUGUUGCCAACAUAAUAAAAGACCCAGCUUGCUAACUUAAGCCAGCAAAACAGCUGUAGUUGUUUUUGUUUUAGAUAUAGAUCAGUAUUGACUGUUUAACACCUACUUCAUUAGCAGUGUGACUCAUUACAGUGAGAUUAAAUUGUCAUGGUUACAAAGCUAGCAUGCUAACACAUUAGCAUGCUAGGUAGCUAUAGCACUCACAUGAUUUAGCUAACAGUCACAAUGACAGCUAGCAUGAAAACAAACUGUCAUUCUGUCGCUUCGUGUUUAUUUAGUACAAGCCGUUGAGCCUGAUUAUAAAUAUUACGUUGUUUAUAAAAGGUUUGUGUUGUGCGGAAUAUAAACAGAAAAGCUGUUGUUUCAUCCCGGUCAGAGUCGAGGUGGAUCUGGAGCGAGGUGGAAUAAUUCACCAUGAUGGGACAGCAGUCCAUUGCAGGAGUACAGGUUCAACCCAGGUGCUGGAACAUUAAAGAAAAAAGAAGAAAGGGACAAAAAUGAACAACUAGUGAUUAAAACUUUAAAGCUUUGUUACCAUUUUUAAACACCAAGCCCACUGCCCCCCUUAUUUGCUGUAGAUUUUCAGUUUCUAUUCAGUUGAACUGAAACUUAGAGGAGCUCAAACCUGUUCCAGCAUGACAUUGCCUCUGUGCACACAGCAAGGUACAUGAUGAUCACUUUUGCCAAGGUUUAAGUGAAUGAGCUCGAGUGGCUUGAUGGCUCAAUGAACUGGAACAGCAACUGGCUGAUGGCUGGAAUCAGUAUCUGACCUCUAACGAUGAUGUAGCUGAAUGAUCACAAAUCCCCACAGCCACAUCUAGCGGAAAACUUCCCAGAAAAGUCGAGAUUGUUAUAACAGCAAAGAACAAUUACGAAUCAGAUGAGUGUUAUG